GCAGGAACUAUGCUUGGUGCUGAUAUGAAAGUGAGACAGGUCCUGCCUCCAGUGAGUUCACAUUCUAUUAGGCAGGAUAUGUAACAUUCAAGAGAAGCCACAGGAUAAACCCAAAAGAAUGAGGAAAUGAUUUAGGGAGAGAGGUACCAAAAAAUGAGGGAAUAAGAAAUACUGGGGAGAGUAAGGGAGGAGGGGGAAGAGGAAAACAUUAAGAUAUUCAGACUGAGAUAAUAGUAGUUGCUAAUAUUUAUCAUGUGUACUUAUUUGGUCCCCAUUACCAGGAUGAAACAAGUUGAUUCUGUCUUGUUUGCAUAGAAUGAUGUGAAGCUGGAAUUUACUUGGCUUUGAAAUUCAUAAAAGUCCAAUCUCUGAAAUUGUCUAGUUGGCAUCUUUAAAUAACCUUAGGCCAGAAAUGUCAACAUCUCAAGCCACUCGACCCUACACUGUGCCCCCCAUCUCCUUCAUGUCCCCCAGUUAAGAAAGAUUACUAGCCCAAACCCAACUGCUCAGUCAAUAUGACUGCCUAAUGUGUUAUAUCUGCUUGAGCCCAUGAAGCUAUUUUCAUAUAAAAUAAAUAGUACUGAAAAAAGUGCAUACCCAGUAUGGGUUCUACUAGAUCUGUUAAGUGUUCUUGCUGGUUGAAAGCUUUCUCACAUUAUUUACAUUUACAUUUAUCACCAGUAAGAAUUAUCUGAUGUUUCUUUAGGUUUGAACCUUAAACCUGAGCUGUACAAGAAAGUUUUCUCAAUUUCUUACAUUCAAAGAGGUUCUUAGUUUCUAUUUUGCAAAGGUUAAAUUUCAGCUAUAUCCUGUUUACAUCGGUAUAGUCAAAGGAUUUCCCUCUAGUAUGAAUUUCUUUUUUAAAGUUUCUAAACGAGUUAAAAGGUUUUCCAUAUUGCUGGCAUUUUUAGGGUUUCUGUCCAAUAUGAAAUCGUUUAUGGAAAUGAAGGUUCCCCUUACGUUUGAAGGCUUUUCCACAUUCAUUGCAUAUAUAGAGUUGAACAUCAAUAUGAGUUUUCUUAUGUCUCUUAAGAUGUCCCCUAUACUUGAAGGCUUUUUCACAUUCAUUACAUUUAUAAGGUUUCACUACACUAUGAAUUUUCAUAUGUCUAUUAAGGCCUCCAUUCUCCCUAAAGGCUUUUCCACAUUCAUUACAUUUAUAAGGUUUCUUUUCAGUAUGAAUUUUUUUAUGUCUAUUAAGGCUUCCCUUCUGCCAAAAGGCUUUUUCACAUUCAUUACAUUUAUAGGGCUCUUGCCCAAUAUGAACUGCCUCAUGUACAUCAAUGCCUUCUUUACACCUGAAGGUUUUUCUACAUUUAACACAUUUAUACAGUUUCUCUCCAGUAUGAAUUUUCAUAUGCUUAUUAAGAAGAUCCUUAUGGCUGAAGGCUUUCUCACAUUCAUUACAUUUGUAGGGCCUCUCCCCUGAAUGAUUUGCCUCAUGUACAUCAAGGCCUCUCUUAAAUCUAAAGGCUUUUCCACAUUCAUUACAUUUAUAGGGUUUCACUGCAGUAUGAAUUCUCUUAUGUACAUGAAGGGUUCCCUGAAGUUUGAAGGCUUUUCCACAUUCAUUACAUUUAUAGGGCUUUUCCCCAGUAUGUGUUGCUCCAUGUACAACAAGGCCUCUCUUAAACCUAAAGGCUUUUCCACAUUCAUUACAUUUAUAGGGUUUCUCUGCAGUAUGAAUUCGCUCAUGUCUACUAAAGGAUGCUUUGUCCUUAUAACUUCUUCCACAUUCAUUACAUUUAUAGAGUUUCACUUCAGUAUGAAUUUUCUUGUGUCUAUUUAAGGGUCCUAUAAGGCUGAAUCCCUUCCCACAUUCAUUACAUUUAUAGGAUUUCCCUCCACUAGGAAUUCCCUUCCCACAUUCAUUACAUUUAUAGGAUUUCCCUCCACUAGGAAUUCCCUUAUGUUGACAAAUACAUCCCUUCAGGCUAAAAGUUUUC
rnacentral:lncRNA from 1 species